rnacentral:lncRNA from 1 species
GAGAGAGAGAGAGAGAGAGAGAGAGAGAGAGAGAGUUACAACAAGAGUUGGCACCAUGACUCUGGUAUGCCUUGGCCAUCUUGCCAAGAAGUCAAUGGAGUAUUAGAAGGCCGUGAGAACUGAGGGCAGACCGAAGAAGACGACGAGGACCGAGAAGAAGAAGAAGAAGAAGAAGAAGAAGAAGAAGAAGAAGAAGAAGAAGAAGAGGGCCGAGGAGGUGGUCUCAUGUCACCGUUCGUGGUCCACCACCAGGUUGGUUUUCCUUCCACCAUCUGCUGCACCAUGGAACUCUGAAACACUCCUCUUCUCAUGCCUGCAUGUUGUUUCUCCUCCAUCUCUCUUUAUACUUCCACACCCUUUAUUUGUUGACACUGCAAGUCAAUUCUAAUUCGAAGCCUUUCUUUCUGUUCUGAUAACGAAGAGAAAAGAAUGAGAACACAAGCAUGCUCGGAGAAACCUAAAUAAAUACUCACUGAAGCCUCUUG